UGGUAAACAUAGAAGAUUUCGACGAGAAGAGCGGUGGAAAGUAUCCAUUUUUCGAGUCCUACCAGGAAUCUGCAAGCCCAAAUGGAGCUAAAUCUAUCUGUAAAAAUAUUCUUUUUUGUUUUUUUUAAUUUGCGGCCUUCUAUUUUAUCCGAAAUGGCUCUACUUUACGUGUUUUAAGAGAUCGUAAACUGAAGAAAAUUUUGAGAGGUCGGCACCAAUGGAGGCAUGAAAGACACUGGUUGUUUUAAAGCUCUAAAGUGAAGAACAUCAAAGGCUAGACUACGGCAAUUGCUUGAGUCAGAUAAGUACUUUCUUAGUUUUUCUUUCGAUUUUGUGAUCUCUUCACCUCAUUGCUAAACUUUGAUUGCGUAGAAGCA